rnacentral:rRNA from 1 species
GCUUGCUCUCGGGUGACGAGUGGCGGACGGGUGAGUAAUGUCUGGGAAACUGCCUGAUGGAGGGGGAUAACUACUGGAAACGGUAGCUAAUACCGCAUAACGUCUUCGGACCAAAGUGGGGGACCUUCGGGCCUCACACCAUCGGAUGUGCCCAGAUGGGAUUAGCUAGUUGGUGAGGUAAAGGCUCACCAAGGCGACGAUCCCUAGCUGGUCUGAGAGGAUGACCAGCCACACUGGAACUGAGACACGGUCCAGACUCCUACGGGAGGCAGCAGUGGGGAAUAUUGCACAAUGGGCGCAAGCCUGAUGCAGCCAUGCCGCGUGUAUGAAGAAGGCCUUCGGGUUGUAAAGUACUUUCAGCGGGGAGGAAGGUGGUGAGGUUAAUACCCUUAUCAAUUGACGUUACCCGCAGAAGAAGCACCGGCUAACUCCGUGCCAGCAGCCGCGGUAAUACGGAGGGUGCAAGCGUUAAUCGGAAUUACUGGGCGUAAAGCGCACGCAGGCGGUCUGUUAAGUCAGAUGUGAAAUCCCCGGGCUUAACCUGGGAACUGCAUUUGAAACUGGCAGGCUUGAGUCUUGUAGAGGGGGGUAGAAUUCCAGGUGUAGCGGUGAAAUGCGUAGAGAUCUGGAGGAAUACCGGUGGCGAAGGCGGCCCCCUGGACAAAGACUGACGCUCAGGUGCGAAAGCGUGGGGAGCAAA